rnacentral:rRNA from 1 species
AGCGAACGCUGGCGGCAGGCUUAACACAUGCAAGUCGAACGCAUCCUUCGGGGUGAGUGGCCGACGCGUGAGUAACACGUGGGAACGUACCCUUCGAUCUGGGAUAACUUCGGGAAACUGGAGCUAAUACCGGAUACGCCCUGUUGUUGAAAGGUUUACUGUCGAAGGAUCAGCCCGCGUCUUAUUAGCUAGUUGGUGGGGUAACGGCCUACCAAGGCGACGAUCAGUAGCUGGGCUGAGAGGAUGAUCAGCCACACUGGGACUGAGACACGGCCCAGACUACUACGGGAGGCAGCAGUGGGGAAUACUGGAAAAUGGGCGCAAGCCUGAUCCAGCCAUGCUGCGUGAGUGGUGAAGGCCUUAGGGUUGUAAAGCUCUUUUGUCCGGGACGAUACUGACGGUACCGGAAGAAUAAGCCCCGGCUAACUUCGUG